rnacentral:lncRNA from 1 species
UUAAAAAGUACCAGGUUAAAUGUAAACUAUAAAAUACUUUAACUAUAAAAUGCAGCCAGAAGUAUGUCUGAGUCUCCACAGUCAAUUGUGUAAUUUACGUGGUAUUGGAGAAGUCAAAGGGCAUGCCACAGGAGUGAGAUGCACGCCCCCACACACUUCGACAGCAUAGAGAUUAGGACACGCAGAGUCGUCUCUUCUUGGUUUCACUUCUGGUGUAAUGAGAAUUCUAUUCUCAGAAUCCACUUAGACAACAGUGACCAGGGUACAUUAAUCCUUACUUUCAGCCCACAGAGAACAAUUCAUAGUCUUUUAAAUCACAAUCAAGCUGGCUACAUGAUUUCCAAAAGGCUAGAGCAGGACGAAUGCCCACGUGUGAGGUAAUUAUUGCCAUGAGGGUCACAGUUUGUAUAAGGUAAUAUAGCUAAACCCUUCCGAAGACACUGCUAGGUGCUCUGCCCGGGCUCCAGAACACCUACUGACACCCACCAGGAUCUCAGAUCUACACUAGCUGGGUUUGCUUCCAAUGGAUUUAAAGUUCUACAAGAAUUUAGAACUUGUGUAAACGACCUAAGAAUUUAGGCAAACAAGCCUGGAGCUAGUCAGUAAAGACAUUUUUAAAAGAAAAGAAAAACAAGAAACCCAACCGAACAGAGUUUGAAGAGGGUAGAGUGGAGGUCUAAAGCAUUUCUAGAUUUUGUCAUCUCUCAAGUGACCCGAAACUGCCUGUAUAGCACCCUCAGCCCCAUGGCCCCCGCUUCCUCCUCCCCCCCCUCCUGGCUUCCUGUGGCUGCUCUGCUAGGUUCCGCUGUUGUCCCUCUCUUUGAGAAGGGGGUCUCUUGCAAGAAAACUCAAUAUUGUUCCUCUUCCC